rnacentral:rRNA from 1 species
UACAGAGGUCUCAAGCGUUGUUCGGAUUCAUUGGGCGUAAAGCGCGUGUAGGCGGCUAUGCAAGUCGGAUGUGAAAGCCCUCGGCUCAACCGGGGAAGUGCACCCGAAACUGCAAAGCUAGAGUCUCGGAGAGGAUCGUGGAAUUCUCGGUGUAGAGGUGAAAUUCGUAGAUAUCGAGAGGAACACCGGUGGCGAAGGCGGCGAUCUGGACGAUGACUGACGCUGGAGACGCGAAAGCGUGGGAGCAAACAGG